rnacentral:rRNA from 1 species
UACGGGGGGGGCAAGCGUUGUUCGGAAUUACUGGGCGUAAAGGGCUCGUAGGUGGUCAACUAAGUCGGACGUGAAAUCCCUCGGCUUAACCGGGGAACUGCGUCCGAUACUGGAUGACUUGAGUUCGGGAGAGGGAUGCGGAAUUCCAGGUGUAGCGGUGAAAUGCGUAGAUAUCUGGAGGAAUACCGGUGGCGAAGGCGGCAUCCUGGACCGACAUUGACGCUGAGGAGCGAAAGCUAGGGGAGCAAACGGG